AUGCUCAAAAUUCUCAAAGCCACGCUUCAGCAAUACAUGAACCAUGAACUUCCAGAUGUUCAAGCUGGUUUUAGAAAAGGCAGAGGAACCAGAGAUCAAAUUGCCAACAUCCGCUGGAUCAUCAAAAAAGCAAGAGAGUUCCAGAAAAACAUCUAUUUCUGCUUUAUUGACUAUGCCAAAGCCUUUGACUAUGUGGAUCACCAUAAACUGUGGAACAUUCUUCAAGAGAUGGGAAUACCAGACCACCUGACCUGCCUCUUGAGAAACCUAUAUACAGGUCAGGAAGCAACAGUUCGAACUGAACAAGGAACAACAGACUGGUUCCAAAUAGGAAAAGGAGUAGGUCAAGGCUGUAUAUUGUCACCCUGCUUAUUUAACUUAUAUGCAGGGUACAUCAUGAGAAACACUGGGCUGGAUGAAGCACAAGCUGGAAUCAAGAUUGCUGGGAGAAAUAUCAAUCACCUCAGAUAUGCAGAUGACACCACCCUUAUGGCAGAAAGUAAAGACGAACUAAAAAGCCUCCUGAUGAAAGUGAAAGAAGAGAGUGAAAAAGUUGGCUUAAAGCUCAACAUUCAGAAAACGAAGAUCAUGGCAUCUGGUCCCAUCACUCCAUGGGAAAUAGAUGGGGAAACAGUGUCAGACUUUAUUUUGGGGGGCUCCAAAAUCACUGCAGAUGGUGAUUGCAGCCAUGAAAUUAAAAGACGCUUACUCCUUGGAAGAAAAGUUAUGACCAACCUAGAUAGCAUAUUCAAAAGCAGAGACAUUACUUUGCCGACUAAGGUCCGUCUAGUCGAGGCUAUGGUUUUUCCAGUAGUCAUAUAUGGAUGUGAGAGUUGGACUGUGAAGAAAGCUGAGCGCCAAAGAAUUGAUGCUUUUGAACUGUGGUGUUGGAGAAGACUCUUGAGAGUCCCUUGGACUGCAAGGAGAUCCAACCAGUCCAUUCUAAAGGAGAUCAGCCCUGGAUGUUCUUUGGAAGGAAUGAUGCUAAAGCUGAAACUCCAGUACUUUGGCCACUUCGUGCGAAGAGUUGACUCAUUGGAAAAGACUUUGAUGCUGAGAGGGAUUGGGGGCAGGAGGAGAAGGGGACGACAGAGGAUGAGAUGGCUGGAUGGCAUCACCGACUUGAUGGACGUGAGUUUGAGUGAACUCCGGGAGUUGGUGAUGGACAGGGAGGCCUGGCGUGCUGCGAUUCGUGGUGUUGCAAAGAGUCGGACACGACUGACCAACUGA
rnacentral:lncRNA from 1 species